AGCGGGAAGUAGUUUACUACUUUGCCGGCGAGCGGCGGACGGGUGAGUAAUGUCUGGGAAACUGCCUGAUGGAGGGGGAUAACUACUGGAAACGGUAGCUAAUACCGCAUAACGUCUUCGGACCAAAGUGGGGACCUUCGGGCCUCACGCCAUCGGAUGUGCCCAGAUGGGAUUAGCUAGUAGGUGGGGUAAUGGCUCACCUAGGCGACGAUCCCUAGCUGGUCUGAGAGGAUGACCAGCCACACUGGAACUGAGACACGGUCCAGACUCCUACGGGAGGCAGCAGUGGGGAAUAUUGCACAAUGGGCGCAAGCCUGAUGCAGCCAUGCCGCGUGUGUGAAGAAGGCCUUCGGGUUGUAAAGCACUUUCAGCGAGGAGGAAGGCCAAUAACUUAAUACGUUGUUGGAUUGACGUUACUCGCAGAAGAAGCACCGGCUAACUCCGUGCCAGCAGCCGCGGUAAUACGGAGGGUGCAAGCGUUAAUCGGAAUUACUGGGCGUAAAGCGCACGCAGGCGGUUUGUUAAGUCAGAUGUGAAAUCCCCGCGCUUAACGUGGGAACUGCAUUUGAAACUGGCAAGCUAGAGUCUUGUAGAGGGGGGUAGAAUUCCAGGUGUAGCGGUGAAAUGCGUAGAGAUCUGGAGGAAUACCGGUGGCGAAGGCGGCCCCCUGGACAAAGACUGACGCUCAGGUGCGAAAGCGUGGGGAGCAAACA
rnacentral:rRNA from 1 species